rnacentral:rRNA from 1 species
GGAGUCUAGCAUGUGCGCGAGUCAUUGGGACUCGACUAAACCUAAAGGCGCAAUGAAAGUGAAGGUCCGCCUCGCGCGGACCGAGGGAGGAUGGGCCGGCCCUCGGGCAGGCCCCGCACUCCCGGGGCGUCUCGUUCUCAUCGCGAGAAGAGGCGCACCCAGAGCGUACACGCUGGGACCCGAAAGAUGGUGAACUAUGCCUGGUCAGGACGAAGUCAGGGGAAACCCUGAUGGCUGUCCGUAGCGAUUCUGACGUGCAAAUCGAUCGUCGGAACUGGGUAUAGGGGCGAAAGACUAAUCGAACCAUCUAGUAGCUGGUUCCCUCCGAAGUUUCCCUCAGGAUAGCUGGCGCUCGCUGCGUGCGAGUCUCAUUCGGUAAAGCGAAUGAUUAGAGGCAUUGGGGUCGAAACGGCCUCAACCUAUUCUCAAACUUUAAAUGGGUGAGAUCUCCGGCUUGCUUAAACGGUGAAGCCGCGAGAUAUCGGAUCAAAGUGCCAAGUGGGCCACUUUUGGUAAGCAGAACUGGCGCUGUGGGAUGAACCAAACGCCGAGUUAAAGCGCCCAAAUCGACGCUUAUGGGAUACCAUGAAAGGCGUUGGUAACUUAAGACAGCAGGACGGUGGCCAU